UACGUAGGGCGCAAGCGUUGUCCGGAAUUAUUGGGCGUAAAGAGCUCGUAGGCGGUCUGUCGCGUCGGCUGUGAAAACCCGAGGCUCAACCUCGGGCCUGCAGUCGAUACGGGCAGACUAGAGUGCUGUAGGGGAGACUGGAAUUCCUGGUGUAGCGGUGAAAUGCGCAGAUAUCAGGAGGAACACCGGUGGCGAAGGCGGGUCUCUGGGCAGUAACUGACGCUGAGGAGCGAAAGCGUGGGGAGCAAACAGGAUUAGAUACCCUGGUAGUCCACGCCGUAAACGUUGGGCGCUAGGUGUGGGCUGUCUUCCACGCAGUCCGUGCCGCAGCUAACGCAUUAAGCGCCCCGCCUGGGGAGUACGGCCGCAAGGCUAAA
rnacentral:rRNA from 1 species